GUGUCAGCAGCCGCGGUAAUACGUAGGCAGCGAGCGUUGUUCGGAGUUACUGGGCGUAAAGGGUGCGUAGGCGGCCGAUUAAGUUUGUCGUGAAAUCUCCCGGCUUAACUGGGAGGGUGCGGCGAGUACUGACCGGCUAGAGUGUGGGAGAGGAGAGUGGAAUUCCUGGUGUAGCGGUGAAAUGCGUAGAUAUCAGGAGGAACACCGGCGGUGUAGACGGCUCUCUAGACCAUAACUGACGCUGAGGCACGAAAGCGUGGGUAGCAAACAGGAUUAGAUACCCUGGUAGUCCACGCCCUAAACGAUGCACAUUUGGUGUGGGCAGUUCAUUCUGUCCGUGCCGGAGCUAACGCGUUAAAUGUGCCGCCUGGGGAGUACAGUCGCAAGGCUGAA
rnacentral:rRNA from 1 species